AGAGACAUCCUCAGCUCCUCCACCAUGGCACUACAGAAGGACCUCUACAGGGGAAGUUUGCAAAAGAACAAAAAAAAAUGUGGAAAGAAACUGCCACAAACUGUGUCAACAUCAUCUUCAUCAAUCUACAACCUUAAGGUCUCAUUCCUGGUCAGCUAUCACCAGUUCAGACUCCACAAGCAUGCUGAACAACUUUUAGAUGGCCUGACAGCAUGAAGCUUUUCUGACAACGUUAUUUGAAACAAGAUGGAAGCAACAUUCUUAACAGAGGCAAGAGUUUGUCCACAAGGAAGAGAAGAAAGAUUUUAGACCCUAUCUAUCUUCCACAAUUACUUACAUUUUAGUUCUUUUUCUUGUAAGCACUUUUUCCAUAAUCAUGGUACAGUCAGGGGAGUGAAUCCAGAAUUGCUGUUGACCAAGUUAUUGGGGGGGGGGGAGUGUCAAAAGCAAAUGGAAGAUGUCCAGGAAUCAG